rnacentral:tRNA from 1 species
GGGCUUAUAGCUCAGGUGGUUAGAGCGCCACACUGAUAAUGUGGAGGUCCCUGGUUCGAGUCCAGGUAAGCCCA